AGUGAACGCUGGCGGUAGGCCUAACACAUGCAAGUCGAACGGCAGCACAGUAAGAGCUUGCUCUUACGGGUGGCGAGUGGCGGACGGGUGAGGAAUACAUCGGAAUCUACUUUUUCGUGGGGGAUAACGUAGGGAAACUUACGCUAAUACCGCAUACGACCUACGGGUGAAAGCAGGGGAUCUUCGGACCUUGCGCGAUUGAAUGAGCCGAUGUCGGAUUAGCUAGUUGGCGGGGUAAAGGCCCACCAAGGCGACGAUCCGUAGCUGGUCUGAGAGGAUGAUCAGCCAGACUGGCACUGAGACACGGUCCUGACUCCUACGGGAGCCAGCAGUGGGGACUAUUCGACAAUGGGAGCCAGCCUGACCCAGCCAUCCCGCGUGGGUGAAGAAGACCUUCCGGUUGUAAAGCCCUUUUGUUGGGAAAGAAAAGCAGCACGUUCAUAACAAGCUGUUCUGACGGUACCCAAAGAAUAAGCAACGGCUAACUUCGUG
rnacentral:rRNA from 1 species